rnacentral:rRNA from 1 species
GGAGGUUAUAACUUAUACAAGAUAAGAUUUGGGAUUAAGGUAAGUAAAUCAAUAUAAUAACGAAGGUUUAGUACAGGGUACGGAUGAAAUUAAGUAGAGGUUAGAGUUAGUACUGUGAGGGAAAUUUGAAAUAUUAUGAAAUAAUAAUUGAUUUUGAAGUAGGCUUAGUGCUGUACCUUUUGUAUCAGGGUUUAUUAAAUAGGGAGGAGAAUUCCAUAAUCUCGAUAUAAGGAGGGCUAUUUUAUUAAACUACAUAAGGUGGUAAACUUAUUGGGAAUAGUAAGGUAGGGACGAAAAGUUAGUCGAUCCUUAUGGUUUCUAGUUUCUUAAGAAUUAAAUUUAAUUUAGGGGUAUCGAGAAUGUUGGGGAAUCAUCUCUACAUUUUAAAAUAUUCUACUGGUUUGAAGGAUAAGCUUUGAGUUAGGGAUUAUAACUUGGGAUUAAAAGAAGAUUUGUAGGCUUGAGAGUAGCCAUCAAUCAAGGAUGUUAUAAUUUAUGUUCUUUUGAAAUAAUUUUAUUUAGUUUGGUUUAGUAUUAAGAAAGUGUCUUGAAUUAUAAGGACAGGGUAUAAUGAUGAAAUAAGUAUAAGUGUUAUAAGGAAAGUACAAUUUUAGUAAGGAACUCGGCAAAUGUAGUGCUCGCCUGUUUAUCAAAAACAUCGCCUUUUGGAGAAAUAGAAGGUCUGACCUGCCCACUGAAGAAAGUUAAAGGGCCGCGGUAUUUUGACCGUGCAAAGGUAGCAUAAUCAUUAGUCUUCUAAUUAAAGGCUGGAAUGAAUGGUUGGACGAGGUACUAGCUGUCUCACUAAGAUGGUUUUGAAUUUAGCUUUUUAGUCAAAAGGCUAAAAUAAGGUUGGAGGACGAGAAGACCCUAUAGAGCUUUACGUUAAACUUUUUUAAUUUGUUUGGUAAGAUUUUAGUUUUAAAAGGUAGGCGUUUCGUUGGGGUGACGGGAAGAUAUAAUUAACUCUUUUUAAUUUUAAACACAGAUGAGUGGGUAAUUGAUCCAUUAAUAAUGAUUAUAAGACUAAGUUACCUUAGGGAUAACAGCGUAAUCUUUUUUGAGAGUUCUAAUCGACAAAAAGGGUUGCGACCUCGAUGUUGGACUAAGGGUUAUUUUUGGGUGUAGCAGCUCAAAGUUUAGGUCUGUUCGACCUUUGAAUCCUUACAUGAUCUGAGUUCAGACCGGCGUAAGCCAGGUCGGUUUCUAUCCUCAAUUAGUAAAAAUGUUUUAGUACGAAAGGACCAAAUAUUUAAGAUAAUCUUAGGAAGUGAAUAAUAUUAACUU